UGCUCAUGUUUUUCUAAUGUUGUCUCGUGCUCAUCAACCCAAAAUGCAUACAUGUAAAACCAAUAUUGAAAUAUAAAUAUAAAAACAUAUCCACAUUUUGGUACUUAUGGGUGGGAGAGGGGGGAACUUAUCAAGAACCUCAUCAACCCAAACAGGCAAUAUGUAUUGCCUGACCAAACAUAGCCCUUAAACCAACCACCACUUGGAUAUUGAAAGAAUGAGGAUGUAUCACAUGUACUUCCGCCAAAGAUAUCAACCAAUGAGGUUAUACACAUAUCCUCAGUGAUUGAUAUAAUCUUGCAUCCAGUUCAUGUUAAGUUAUGGGCAUAGAAAACUCUAUAGUCCAUACAGCAUAUUUGCAGGCCAAUCUCAAAAUAUACCACUAGCAAGGCUUUCCCUUAAGGAAUAGUAUUCCCAAUACUCAAAACAAAUUCAACACUUUUAUUAAAUAUUAUUCCUUUUAAAAUUACUUUAAAACACUUCUAAACAUUUAAAGAUGCAUGUAAACAGUUCUUUAUAAAUCGUUCAUAAUUCAAUAAAUUCUCAUGAAUGUGACCACAUACGGACUUUUAAAAGUUGAGUUAAGGCAAUGAACUCAUAUCAAAAUGAACAUUGUCAUUAUUCUAAUAACAUCUUCAGCAUGUGGAAAGCUUGUAAGCAAAGGGACUUAACCUCCAAGUGUAAACUAUGCUGGCUUGUCUCUUUCUUUACUGUUGCUGAAUAAAACACACUCUUUACUUCAUAAUCAGGAACAUUGACAAUUGUAUUUCCACUCGAUUCUUCACAUGUCUACUGAAAAUAUAUUAACCAAUAACAAAUUGUGUAUUUGUACUAAAGACAGCAUUAGUCACACUUUGAAAAGGAAAAAAUCCCUUUGCCUACAAUCCACGUGGAAAACCACUAGGGAAUCAGUGUCCCUCGAACUGUAGACAAAGAAAUUUAAAUUAAAAAAUUUAACCAUACAUAAAAUUUAAGUAUACAUUUGUACUAGUAUACAAAAUCAUUCAACAUUAUAUUUAUUUAUUAAUUUAGAUAAAACAAAACAAAACAAAAAUAUUGCAACCAUUAUUUAAUCUCCCAUGACAAAAAGAUUUUUGUGACAUAUUUCAACACA
rnacentral:lncRNA from 1 species